rnacentral:snoRNA from 1 species
UGACCAUUACUAAGAUUUUUAGAAUACAGUUUUUCAAUUGUGUGGAUAUGAUCUCACUAACAUUCAUCCCCCAGAAAGUGUUUCUGCUAACAUGU